CAAUAGCGUAUAUUAAAGUUGUUGCGGUUAAAAAGCUCGUAGUUGGAUUUCUGCUCAGAGCGACCGGUCCGCCUUUGGGUUGGUAUCAGGUUCGCUUUGAACAUAAUCUUGGGAAACAUGGCUGUGCUUUGAGUGUGGCCUGUUCCUGUGUCUUUUACUUUGAGGAAAUUAGAGUGUUUCAAGCAAGCAUUUGCCUUGAAUAAAUUAGCAUGGAAUAAUACUAUAGGACUUCGGUUCUGUUUUGUUGGUUUCUGGGACUGAGGUAAUGAUUAAUAGGGACAGUCGGGGCAUUCGUACUUAACUGUCAGAGGUGAAAUUCUUGGAUUUGUUAAAGACGGACUAAUGCGAAAGCAUUUGCCAAGGAUGUUUUCAUUGA
rnacentral:rRNA from 1 species